CAACGAGAGACAUGUAUAUAUAUAGCACAUUAUAGCGUAUUGUUUAUAGCUAUCGGCAAUUUCUAAAAAAAUCUUUAGAAACAGCUUAUACAAGUAGUAAACUAGGCGCGUUACAAGCUCGUGGCAGUAAAUGAGGUUUAUUCAAUGUGUCGCAGCAGACGUAUGCGCGCAAUAAUCGAACCAUCGUCACAACAAUUUUGUAACAUAAAUAUACAUGUAGGACGAGGCACACAUGCACAUGAUGAUAUAAUCAAAUCGAAUAUUGAUGCACGGUUACGCGGUUGCGAAAGCGAUCGCGCAUCUGCCCCAUGUUUCUAAGGCUGAGGCGUAACGCAGGAAAGUUUCUAUUAGUUCGGAAGUGACGCGAGAAACACGAAUAAUUGUUGGGGGGGAAAAGACGGAAUUAAGAAUAAAUAAACGUCGCGGCAAGUUUCGACGGCGUGAGGGAAAGUUGGGGAAACAGUGUAAACGAUUGGAGAAGACGCGGCGAGAUUUUAUAAAGAGCCGAAAACGUUUCCGCAGGACAUUUUAUUGAUUUUAAACCUCUCCGUCUCUGUCUCCCGGCUUCUCCUCCGCUCCAAGUUCUGCUCUCACUCCUUCUUUCUGAAUUGUCGCCUCACUCCCGCACGGCCGCUCAUACCCGACGCUCACAUCUCGCUCUUUUCUACUAUCGCAGCCUCUCUACGUAUUAUCCGUCUGUCCCCGUCCAUUGCGUCCCAACUAUUUAUCUCGACCGUUAUCAACGGCGUCGCCGAUCGAAGGAAAAGACCGUCGCAUUGGAGGCACGUUAAAAAGGGACGAGCGCGAGUGCAGCUACAAGGCCGAAGUUCAGCGUUCGGUGCAAACGAUGAUAAAGAAUGCGAUCACGAGAAUCCACGUGCACAGAGAGCGGCAGGUCGGCGAGGAUAAUUCAGGAUCGAUAGGAUAUUCGUAGAAGUUUAUAAAAUAAUACUCCGUCGAACUCAAAACAAAGAACAGACACGGGAUAUAGUUAUUUUGAGAAAAGUGGAAUCGCAUUAUGAGAUUUCAGAAAAAAACUAGAAUUACCUGUUUCUCUAUUUAUUUCAGUGAUACGCAAUGUAUUCGCAAGAAUGAUAAGAGCAUUAAAUCGAGGAAUAAAAGAUAUUGUGGAUAAAAUAUUCCGGAAUAUCUACCUGGAACGGCAAGCAUAUGAUACAAGUGACUUUAUUGGUCCUAUAAAGUAAUUUAUAAGGGAAAGAUAUAUUGCACGAGAAAGAAAGAUGGUAAAAAGGAAAAACGAGUAAAGCUGCUCCAAUUCGAAACGAAUAAGAUAAAGAAAAGAGGUAAGUUGGCGGGAUUUAAUUCGCCACUGAUCCUGGAUGAAUAAAGGUCUAAUCAAAGCUGAACGAGGGAGCAGGCAUGCGCGUAAAAGUAGAAGAGAACGACCUCGUCAACGUUUUCGCAGUAAAAGUAAAUCAACCGUGACUCGACGACUCGAAAAGCUUCCCGGGCACAAGUAUCGACUACACCUUGCCCUCCUUCAAUAAAAUAAGCGAACUUCGAUUAUAUAAAUCACGUUCCAUGAUUACGAAACCGCAACACGGUCAUUAUUUCCUUUCAAUGUAUAUU